UACGUAGGGUGCAAGCGUUAAUCGGAAUUACUGGGCGUAAAGCGUGCGCAGGCGGUUUUGUAAGUUUGUCGUGAAAUCCCCGGGCUCAACCUGGGAAUGGCGAUGAAGACUGCAAGGCUAGAGUUUGGCAGAGGGGGGUAGAAUUCCACGUGUAGCAGUGAAAUGCGUAGAGAUGUGGAGGAACACCGAUGGCGAAGGCAGCCCCCUGGGUCAAGACUGACGCUCAUGCACGAAAGCGUGGGGAGCAAACAG
rnacentral:rRNA from 1 species